UGGGGCAGUGCACGGGACGCAGUGGACAGGGGGACGGGAUGCAGGGCAUGGGGCCGGCCAUUCCCUCCCAUGGGAGGUGAAAUGAGGGGUUUUCCCUCCCCGGUUGGACCUUGACCUCGCGAGGCCCCUCCCACUUCCCCUGGUGUCCCAGCGCCAGGCCAGCUCCUUCUGCCCUGCUCCUCCUCCCCCACCCCAAGCAGCCAGGUGGCCACGGCGGGCAUCUCCCGGCCACCCCAGACACCUGCCACCACCCUGCUGUUUGGCCGCUGGCCCGGGGCUCAGCCCACGCUGUGCAGUGGGGGCUGGGCACAGAAUGGGACAUUUUUUUAGGGAAAUCUACAUGUGCAGAGGUGGUUUGAGUGCCAUCAGACUUAUGUGUAGAACUUUUCCAAAAAAACAAAAACUGGCCUUAAUGAGCUCACGUGCAACCUGUGUGGAUGCGGUUCUCAAAUCUGGCCUGGGGACCCUGCCAGGCCCUUCCUCCCCCCCGCAGCUAGCACACGGGGACCCCAUGAAGUGCUCCCAAAGGAUGACCUGGAAUUCCCAGACAGGCAGGGCCUUCCUCAGCCCAGGGACCGGCAGCCCCACAUCCUCCUUCUAGAAGCAUCCAUGCUCUUUGAGGCUAAGCAGCUCUCCUGACUCUGUGGCAGAGAUGUAGUGGGUUCUGCGUCUGGCUUAUAGAUCUCCUCUGUGAAAUAUUCCUGAAUUGCCUGGACUUUUCUUUUUUCCAGAAGGCAAUGGGUGGGAUUCAGCCCUUUCCUUUAGACAGGAGAACCCCGCGGUUUGGGAGAGGCCACGUGGGAGGUGCAAGCCACCAGUGUCCUCUGGCCUGCUGAGGUGGGGGCCACCCCUCUGCCAGACAGAAGCAAGACAGGCAUCCUGGCCUCAGUUUACCCUCCAGGACACUAGGGGAGUGGGUUUGUUCCUCCUGAGGCUUAAGGGCGAGGGUCAGCCCUGUGUCCCCUCUGUCCCCACCCCUUCACCCAGUGGGCUGUGCCAGCAACUGUCCUCCAGGGCAGCUCCGGGUCCUGUCCCAUCCGACAGUCGGGUGAUGUCGGGGGCAGGGGAGAAGGGCUCAGGGAGCUGGGGCCGCUGCCCCCGCCAUCCAUGUCCUGCCUGCUCCUCCACACCUCGCCCAGGCCUGCAUUCUGAGUGUUGUGAAUUUCCAAAAACAACCUCUAAUCUGGUGUGGGAGACCUGGUGGCAGGAGUCAUGUGUUGUCCCCAGGCGGGGCCUGUGGCCUGGGGAGGUGGCGCCUUGGUCCCCCGUGUUCCCGGGCCCCACUCCUACAGGGCUGCCCGGUCUGCUGGCGCCCCAGGAUGCCCCCCUGGAGCAGAGACUUCAGCCCCGACUGUGGCACCAUCCGCCAUUCACCCCUGGAGGUGGGAGAUGGGGCGCCAUGGGCACGGGGGUACAACAACACAGGGUCAACAGCGAGCCCCAGGUGACCUGUGCCUCAGUUUCCCCUGUCAUUUCUUGGUCCCACAGGUCCCCUCCCAGCAGCUUGGGUAGGGCAGGACCAUGGGAUGGUGCUGGCUGCUGGCUCUGCCCAUGUCCCCCUUCCUGGGACCCAGGGACAGGCGGCUGAGUCUGGGGGAGCCCCACCUUGCAAUGUGCUGGCAUCUGGGGGCCCUCCAUGCCCAGCCUGCCCCAGCCCAGCCUGCCCCACACCCCGGCCACGGAGGACCUGGGGCAGCGCCACGGCCUCGCAUCCGGACGCGGGCUCUGCUCUGGUACCUGGGUGGACCCCUGACAGAUGCAAACGCACCCAUCAGAGCCUGCCCGGCCUGUGCCCCCCACGCCCGGCUCUACCCCAGCAUGCACAUGCCAGACCCACGCGAGGCCCCUCCGUGGGUGCCGCAGCGGGCGGGCGGGCGGGGGCUCGGCCGCACCCCAGCCUCUGGUGAGGGCUUGUCUUUGUACGUCUGCAUCCUUUGUAAUGAAAUGUAAUAAAAAUGAAACGUUUUCGGC